UAAACGACGUGAGGGAACCUAGCCUCAAAGAGGGGGACAACAGUUGGAAACGACUGCUAAUACCGCAUAAGCCCACAGCUCGGCAUCGAGCAGAGGGAAAAGGAGUGAUCCGCUUUGAGAUGGCCUCGCGUCCGAUUAGCUAGUUGGUGAGGUAUGGCCCACCAAGGCGACGAUCGGUAGCCGGACUGAGAGGUUGAACGGCCACAUUGGGACUGAGACACGGCCCAG
rnacentral:rRNA from 1 species